GGUUUGGUGGUUGGGUGGUAGAAUUCUUGUUUUUCACCCAGGAGACCCGGGUUCAGUUCCCAGCCUGUCCA
rnacentral:tRNA from 1 species